GUUCCAGUUUACAGAGGAGAGAACAGGGGCUGGAUGUGGGUGAGGGACUCACUGGUGAGUUGAGGGGUUGGAUCCCAAUCCAUCAUCCCCUUUAUGACGUCAGAGUGGGCAGCCUCCUGAUACCAGCCAGGAUGUUGGCUAAACAGACGGGCUCUGAUGCAUGCUCACCCAGCACUGGACCUGGGGUUUGGGGAAUGGAGGGGAAGGAGGGCCCUUCUCCACGUGAUGCUCACCCUUGCAGGGGGCACACAGGUGACCCCACAGAAGUGUCAUUCCUUAUGACCUGGCCCUCCUGGGCCUGACAGGCGUGCCCUGACCCAUGGGACCACAGGCCCCAGGUGCACACGUGCACAGGCGUGGCUAUGGCUGGGAGGAGAGCACCCCUAGUUAAGGGCCCCCAAUUCCCAGAGAGUCACAUCUGGGAACUGAGGUCAAGUAGGCAAUUCCAACCUUAAUACGCAAAUUGUUAUCAUCCAGGGGCCUGAUUAUUUUUUAUUAAAUUGUGCGCUCAGUCACUCAGUUGUGUUUGGCCCCAUGGACUAUCGCCUGCCAGGGUCCUCUGUCUGUAGAAUUUCCCAGGCAAGAGUACUGGAGUGGGUUGCCACUUCCUACUCCUACAUCUUCCCGACCCAGGGAUGGAGCCCACAUCUCAUGUCUCCUGCAGUGGCAGGCGGAUUCUUUACCACUAGCACCACCCACUUGCAAUCCCAUAGUCAAGCCCUUUUCUCAGCAUCCUUGUAACCUUCAGCCCCUCCUCAGCCUUUAUUUCUCUUUGGGACCAAGUUCUUAGCUUCAAACUGAGCCCCAUUAUGGACAUAAGUACUGUCUUUUUCAUAUCCCUUCCGUAUCAGAGGCCACCCCAAACUCCCCCUCCCUCCCCUUAUCAAGCUAAGGUUUUAGAAUAAGGAGGUGAGGAGGGGCUGCCUCUCAGGGUAGGGAGGGCCAGCAGGUGGAGAUGAGAUGCCUGUAGCACCUCAGCCAGCUGAAGUGUCAGCGGCAGGCGAGCAGCAGCCAAGGGCCGAGCGGGUGAGAAUAAGUGAGUUGAAUGUGUUGAUUCUGCCUCUGGAUGGUGGGCCCUGGAGCAGGGCUUCAAGUAUGGAAGACAGAGGGUCUCCAAUGCCUGGACUCCCACCUUCUAGCGAUCAGGGUUGAGAUGUGGCUUUGAACUUAGAACACUGGUGUUCAAAGCUGGUUCCCACCACCAGCAAAACAAGCCUCCAUUUUCUCAUCUGUAAAAUGGGAAUAUUGUCCCUCUUGGGGUGGGUAGGGGAGCAAAUGAGGCGACGAGUAGAGCGCAGGGGCUGGAUGGGCUGGGGAUGCUCCCAGACUCGCUGCUGUGGCUGCAAUGACCGCUGUCUUCUGGGGCAGGGUCAGCAAGCUGUUCCCAUAAAGGGGCCUGUUAGGCUUUGAGGGACCCGGGGUCUGUUUCAGCAAUAGAUCUUCCAGGCUUUCACCCCUGAUCACUGAGAUACAGGUUGUCAGAUAUAAUUGGUUCAGACCAGUGUUAGUUUUAGGCGCCCAGUAUCAUGGUUUGCUAUGUGUACAUGCUGUGAAAUGAUCACAAGUUCAGUUACCAUCCACAACCACUCACAGCUACACAUUAUUUUCUUGUGAUGAGAUCUCUUAAGAACUGCUCUCUUAGCAACUUUCACAUACACAACACAGUGUUGUUAACCACCGUCGCCUUGCCGUACACACAACCCCAGGGAUUGCGUGUCUUACAGCUGGAGGUGUGUGCCUGUCGACCAUCUUCACCCACUCCACCUGCCCCCUCAGCACCCGCCUCUGGUUUCCCACACCCUGUUCUGUUUCGGAGUUUGAUUUCUUUUUUCAGUUCCACAUACAAGUGAGACUGUACUUGUCUUUCUCUGUCUGACAUAUUUCACUGAGCAUAAUGCCCUCUGGGUCCAUUCAUGUUGUUGCAAAUGCUUUUUUAUAGCUGAGUACGAUCCAUUAGAUAUGUGUAUAUGUGAUAUAUAGCUGAGUAAGAUCAUUGUAUGUGUACAUACGGUAUAUAUCUGAGUAAGAUCCAUUGUACAUGUAUAUUUGAUAUAUAUCCGGGUAAGAUCCAUUGUCUAUGUAUAUUUGAUAUAUAUCCGGGUAAGGUCCAUUGUAUAUGUAUAUUUGAUAUAUAUCCGGGUAAGGUCCAUUGUAUAUGUAAAUUUGAUAUAUAUCCGGGUAAGAUCCAUUGUCUAUGUAUAUUUGAUAUAUAUCCGGGUAAGGUCCAUUGCAUAUGUGUGCAUAUGGUGUGUACCACACUUCGUCACCCUUGUCUGACAGUGGAAGUGUAGUUUGUGUCCAUGUUAUGGAACACAUGUUUUGUUCCCAGUGCACAGUGAACCCAAACAAACUGAAACCUAAAGUUUGAAGCAGAGAAAGGGUCUACAUCUGCCAUAGAGAACUCAUAACAGGGCCCCCAGGAGGGGUCACUGAGACCCUGCUGUGUGAGUGCAGGUGGCCGCUGCCUUCUCUGCACCAUGGCGUCCUCAUCUGUAUAGAGAGCUAGUAACAGGGCCAGGAGGGCAGACUGAGAGUGGCCUCAGCAGCAGCCCCGUCAGGAUGGAGGAAGGGGAGGGAGGCCUCUGCAGGGACACGGUCCCUCCCUCUGCUCCCCACACCUUCUGAGCACCAAGCACACGUGUCCUCUGUACCCCCAGAUCACUUGGCAAUGAUGCUUCAAAGGUAGCCCAGUCACAUGCCCCCUACCCCGUCAGAUGUAUCUUCCCUCCUCCUUGAAGCCCUGAACACCAUUGCCUUCUCAUCUGGCUUAUCUGGUCCCCUGCGGUCAGACGCCCGGGCUCCUCCAUCCACGAAGCUCCCAUCCUAGGACUGUGUAUUCAGCAGGUGCUCAAUACAGGUUUAGGGCUUUGGGGAAGGCUCAUUGCUCUCCUGCACAAGGAUGCUUCUCGUGGAGGCAACUCCAGCUCCUCCACACACAGGGCAAGUCUGGUGUGGGGCAUAAAUGGCUCCACUGCCGUGGAUCUGCUGAAGGAAAGGGCAGCCCUGGGAGACCCUGACCCCCCACCGUACCCUGCCUGGGGCCUGGCUUCUGCGGAUGAAGCUGUCCCGUGAGCAUCCACAAGGAGGCACUGGAGGACUAGGGCCGUGCUGUGCAGUGGCAGAGCAUCUGGUCUGGACCCCGCCUCGGGGCAGCUGCUCAGCCCACAUUUGGUCUUAAACCAAGGGCCUUGAACAAGGGCUCAGGAGCAAAUCUGGAUUUUUAAAAGUAAUUCCAACAUUUAAAAACUAGGAGAUUUCAGACAAAGCCCCAGAUUUCUAGCUUUGUGAGUUUUGACAUGAAAUGAGAAGUCCUGGCCUCCUGGGGGACAUUGUCAGGGGGUGAACAGAUGAGGCUGUUCUGAGUCUGAGUGGGGGCCCUUCUGGAAGAGGCUGUGUCCCCAGCUCGCCACAGUUCCCACCUCCCCCUGCGCAGCCCCCAGGCCCAGGCUCUCCCUGCCCUGUUCUUGCCUGCCCCUGGAGGUGUCCAGGUUUGCAGUCCUCCUCCUAGUCCAUGGAGCUUUGCUGACGUGAGGGCCACAGCUGUGUGGAGUUUGUCCUGACCCGCUGGUGGGCAGGAUAAAUGGGCUGAGUGCAGCCCUCAAAGGAGGGUUUCGUCGUCACAUGUCGUCCGAAGGCAGUCAGGAAGGGGAGGGGUGGGAGAAGCCAGGGCCAGGAGCUCCAUAAAGUGUCGCCUGGUGGUGUGUCUUCAGGCUCCAAAGCUGCCCCUAAACCCUGCCCUUCUCCCACCACGCAUGCAUCGCUGCUCCCGGUCUUUCCACAAACACUGGCUAUGAGGGGCCUGGUCCCCGGGCCAGCCUUGAGGGCCACAGUCUCUGGCCCAACUCCACCUCCGGCAGCUCCAAUGGGUCAGCGUUGCUGUGAGGUGGCCACUGCCGGACCCUUUACAGGAAAAACGGA
ensembl:lncRNA